AGUGAACGCUGGCGGUAGGCCUAACACAUGCAAGUCGAACGGCAGCACAGUAAGAGCUUGCUCUUACGGGUGGCGAGUAGCGGACGGGUGAGGAAUACAUCGGAAUCUACUUUUUCGUGGGGGAUAACGUAGGGAAACUUACGCUAAUACCGCAUACGACCUACGGGGGAAAGCAGGGGAUCUUCGGACCUUGCGCGAUUGAAUGAGCCGAUGUCGGAUUAGCUAGUUGGCGGGGUAAAGGCCCACCAAGGCGACGAUCCGUAGCUGGUCUGAGAGGAUGAUCAGCCACACUGGAACUGAGACACGGUCCAGAAUCCUACGGGAGGCAGCAGUGGGGAAUAUUGGACAAAGGGAGCAAGCCUGAUCCAGCCAUACCGCGUGAGUGAAGAAGGCCUUCGGGUUGUAAAGCCCUUUUGUUGGGAAAGAAAAGCAGCAGGUUAAUACCCCGCUGUUCUGACGGUACCCAAAGAAUAAGCACCGGCUAACUUCGUG
rnacentral:rRNA from 1 species